AUUCAGUGCGGCAUCCACCAACACAAGAACAGAAUGCGGGUCGCCCUUGUCGUUCUGUUUCUCGCCUCUAUGGCGGGAAGUUUACUAGCAGCAGGAUAUGGAAAAGGCUAUGGCGGAUAUAGUGGUGGCUAUGGGGGUGUAUACGGCUACGGUGGUGGUAAUAAUGGUUACGGUGGUGGUAACUAUGGUUACGGGGGCGGAAACUAUGGAUACGGUGGUUAUGGCGGUAAAGGCUAUGGUGGUUAUGGUGGUAAGGGGUAUGGUGGUUAUGGCGGUCGCAGUUAUGGUGGCUACGGUGGUCAAGGCUAUGGUGGUUAUGGUGGUCAGAGCUAUGGUGGUUACGGCAGUUAUGGAAAAGGAAUGGGAUAUAACAAUCUAGCAACUUAUAUUCCUACCCCAGUGGAAGUUCCAAUGCAGUAUAAUUUCCAACAACCGAAUAAUAUGAAUUUUAACUGGCUAUGGCUUGCUAUAGGGAUUCUUGCUCUGGCUUCCGCUCUCAGGAACGAUUGAAACAAUACGAUUUUCGUUCUUUUUUCAAUGUAUAUAGGAACUUGUCAAUAUGCUGUGAUACGUCUGGUCGUCAACUACCAAAGCCCCCGUUACUUUUAUUUAUUAUAAUAUUAAACAGAUUGCAAAUGGU